UAGUUUUUUUAGAAAUAAAUUUAAUUUACAAUUUUUUAAUUUUUAGUUUUUUUAAAAAAAAUUAAAAAUUUAUUAAUUUGAAUACUUUAAGGGAUAAGCUUUAAAGUAAAAUAUUAAAAAUUAUGAAUAAUUAAUUAAAAAUGUAUGUUUAGAAUUAGCAAUCAUUUAUAAUUUUGUUAUAAAUUAUUUAAUUAGUUUUAUUAUUUAUUAUUAUUUUAAUUAAUUUAUAAAAAUUUUUUUAUUAAUUUUUAAUAAAAAUUAAUAAUGAUUUAAUUAGUAUAUAUUUAUUGUUUUAAGUAAUUUUAUUUGAAAAGUUUAUAUAAAGAACUCGGCAAAUUUAUAUUGUAUAUAUUUAUACUCGCCUGUUUAACAAAAACAUGUCUUUUUGAAGUAUAUUUAAAGUCUGACCUGCCCACUGAUUAAUUUUAAAUGGCCGCAGUAUUUUGACUGUGCAAAGGUAGCAUAANCAUUAGUCUUUUAAUUGAAGGCUGGUAUGAACGGUUGGACAAAGUAUAAACUGUUUCAUAUAAAUUUAUUAUAGAAUUUUAUAUUUUAGUUAAAAAGCUAAAAUUUUAUUAAAAGACGAGAAGACCCUAUAAAUCUUUAUAUUUAAUGAUAUUUAAAUUUUUUGGAUUUAUUUUAUUUUUAUAUUAUUAAAUAUUUUGUUGGGGUGAUGUUAAAAUUUAAUGAACUUUUAAUUUUUAAAAUCAUUAAUUUAUGAAUUUUUGAUCCAAUAAUAUUUAUUAUAAGAUUAAGUUACUUUAGGGAUAACAGAGUAAUUUUUUUUGAGAGUUCAUAUCGAUAAAAGAGUUUGCGACCUCGAUGUUGGAUUAAGGUAUAAUUUUGGGUGUAGCUGUUCAAAUAUUAAGUCUGUUCGACUUUUA
rnacentral:rRNA from 1 species